rnacentral:rRNA from 1 species
GCAGUGGGGAAUAUUGGACAAUGGGCGCAAGCCUGAUCCAGCCAUGCCGCGUGUGUGAUGAAGGCCUUAGGGUUGUAAAGCACUUUCACCGAUGAAGAUAAUGACGGUAGUCGGAGAAGAAGCCCCGGCUAACUUCGUGCCAGCAGCCGCGGUAAUACGAAGGGGGCUAGCGUUGUUCGGAAUUACUGGGCGUAAAGCGCACGUAGGCGGAUAUUUAAGUCAGGGGUGAAAUCCCAGAGCUCAACUCUGGAACUGCCUUUGAUACUGGGUAUCUUGAGUAUGGAAGAGGUAAGUGGAAUUGCGAGUGUAGAGGUGAAAUUCGUAGAUAUUCGCAGGAACACCAGUGGCGAAGGCGGCUUACUGGUCCAUUACUGACGCUGAGGUGCGAAAGCGUGGGGAGCAAACAGGAUUAGA